rnacentral:rRNA from 1 species
UUUUUUUUGUGCAGAAACAACAAUAUUAAUUAAGGACAAGAAGACCCUAAGAAUUUUAAAAACUGUAAUUGUAAAACUAUUAAUUAUAGUUUUUUGAUUGGGGCGAUUGAUAAAUAUAGA